AGAUUGAACGCUGGCGGCAGGCCUAACACAUGCAAGUCGAGCGGUAGAGAGGUGCUUGCAUCUCUUGAGAGCGGCGGACGGGUGAGUAAUGCCUAGGAAUCUGCCUAGUGGUGGGGGAUAACGUUCGGAAACGGACGCUAAUACCGCAUACGUCCUACGGGAGAAAGCGGGGGACCUUCGGGCCUCGCGCCAUUAGAUGAGCCUAGGUCGGAUUAGCUAGUUGGUGAGGUAAUGGCUCACCAAGGCGACGAUCCGUAACUGGUCCUGAGAGGAUGAUCAGUCACACUGGAACUGAGACACGGUCCAGACUCCGUACGGGAGCAGCAGGUGGGAAUAGUGACAAGUGGGACAAAGCUAGACUCCAGCCAUCGACCGUCGUAGU
rnacentral:rRNA from 1 species